UGCUGUGACUGUGUGUGAGUAACACUGUGGGCACACCUACCUAUAUAGUUUGGGAUAACUCCUGGGAAACCUGGGGCUAAUACCUGAAUAAUCUAUAUUUACUAUACAUUGGUUGAAAUAACUUGAAAGACGUGUAUUCAGUGCUGUACUGCUAUAAUGAUGUGGCCCUGCUGUGCUGCAUNUAGCUAGUAUGGUUGAGUGUAACUGUGCUACACCAAUUGCUGACUGAUNGCGUAGCCGACCUGAGAGUGGUNGAUACUGGCCACACUGGGACUGAGACACUGGACCCAGACUACCUAACGGGAGGCAGCAGUAGUGGAAUACUAUCCUGCAAUUGGACGAAAGUCUNGACGGAGGCAACUGCCUGGCGUGAGUAGAUNGAAUGUGCUUANA
rnacentral:rRNA from 1 species